GACGCAGCGGGGGCUCCUCGGCUCGAGCCCGUGCGGACCAGAGUGCGGCGCGGGGCAGCGGCGGCGGCGGACCGAGGAGACCUGCGAGCGGGGCGGCGCGGCGGAGCAGACAUAAAGGCCACACUUCUGAGCACCCAAGGGCCUGGCCCAACCACAGCUUGGGACCCGCCCUCUCCCCAGAACUGCAUGGAUGAGCCACGGAACUGCAGCCAUGUGCUGACCCAAAUGGACCUCUAGGGGAGCAAGGGACUCGUACCCCCCCUGGGAAUAAGAAACUGACCAGAGGAAAAUGGCAGCAGGAAACCAUUCUGCAGUGACGGAGUUCAUCUUGGCUGGGCUCUCAGAUCAGCCAAAGCUUCAGCUGCCACUUUUCCUCCUCCUCUUAGGAAUCUGUGUGGUCACAGAGCUAUCCUGCUCCUGCACUUAACAUCAAUGAAUUAUUGGUUCUGGUCUUUAGCACGUUUAACAUUCUGACUCCAGUACUAAGCGUCCUUGAUUUCCACAUCUUCAUCACUGUCAGCAUCCUCUGCGUUCGCUCCACUGACAGCAGGCCCAAAAGCAUUCAGCACUUGAAGCUCCCACAUCUCAGCAGUUGCUGCGUUCUUUGGAUCUGCAGCAUUCAUGUACCUGCAGCCAUCAUCUAUUAGCUCUGUGGACCAAGGGAAAGUGUCCGCUGUGUUUUAUACUACUCUGUGCCCAUGGUGAACCCCCUGAUCUACAGCCUGAGGAAUAAGGAUGUCAAAUUUGCCCUGAAGAAACUUCUGGAUAGGAGCACAUGUUCAUGAAUAGAAUCAAUGUGAUGUUGUCAUUGCAAAAACAGGCCUUUAAUUUGCCUAGAUAUGUAAUUUGUGAGAAUCAGUGUUCAGGUUUGGAAAUUCAGUGAUGCUUUUCUAUGUAACAUAUCUCAAAAAUUUCCACUCCAGUCCACUCCCU